UUGGAGGGCAAGUCUGGUGCCAGCAGCCGCGGUAAUUCCAGCUCCAAUAGCGUAUAUUAAAGUUGUUGCAGUUAAAAAGCUCGUAGUUGAGUUUCGGGAUUGACACAUCGGUCGUGCCUUAAGGGGUAUGAACUGGUGUAGUCAGUUUCUCACCCUCUGGAGAACCGCGAUGUCCUUAAUUGGGUGCCGCGAGGAACCAGGACCUUUACUUUGAAAAAAUUAGAGUGUUUAAAGCAGGCAUUUUGCUUGAAUACAUUAGCAUGGAAUAAUAAAAUAGGACGGAUGGUUCUAUUUUGUUGGUUUCUAGGAUCACCGUAAUGAUUAAUAGGGAUAGUUGGGGGCAUUAGUAUUCGAUUGUCAGAGGUGAAAUUCUUGGAUUUAUUGAAGACUAACUACUGCGAAAGCAUUUGCCAAGGAUGUUUUCAUUAAUCAAGAACGAAAGUUAGGGGAUCGAAGACGAUCAGAUACCGUCGUAGUCUUGACCAUAAACUAUGCCGACUAGGAAUCAGACGAUGUUAAUUUUUUAAUGACUCGUUUGGCACCUUACGGGAAACCAAAGUGUUUGGGUUC
rnacentral:rRNA from 1 species